AACACGUGGGGAACCUGCCCCAUAGUCUGGGAUACCACUUGGAAACAGGUGCUAAUACCGGAUAAGAAAGCGGAUCGCAUGAUCAGCUUUUAAAAGGUGGCGUAAGCUGUCGCUAUGGGAUGGCCCCGCGGUGCAUUAGCUAGUUGGUAAGGUAAAGGCUUACCAAGGCGAUGAUGCAUAGCCGAGUUGAGAGACUGAUCGGCCACAUUGGGACUGAGACACGGCCCAAACUCCUACGGGAGGCAGCAGAC
rnacentral:rRNA from 1 species